AAUUCGUGAUAAUGUCGAUCUCUAGUUAGACAAAAAGUAACUUCAAACAUAAAUUGGAGGUUUUCAGCGAGCAAAUUAGGAUUCCGAAGUAGCUCAGUUGGUUAGAGCACUCCACGCGAAAUUGAGAGGUCCCGGGUUUGCUGGCUCGGAUGAUAAUUAUGGUACACACCUCUUUUGCUUUCUUCCAAUUAUCGAAUUUCACUUUCACCAAAUGACCUAAAGGUUGUGACCCUUUGUCACCGCUUACAGCAAAUGCUACACACGGAACACAAAAUGCACCAUGAUGCAAUUCUGACAAUGGAAAAAAGUAAUUUUUUGGCGGAACCCAAGCAUUUGUUAAUAAGUCCAGCCUCUGAGAUUCACUAAGUCUGAUGCCAAUAAAAUUUCCGACGUCGUGUUUAUUUACGUUGUUUAACGUUUUUGUUGCCUUCACUACAUGAGCUUUGAUCGCCCGUAUUUUCACUACCCGAUGCAGCAUACCGAGGUUUUUCACGGCUGUUUCGACAGAUGAUUGCGCUUCUUCAUUGUCUUCAGUUUUUGGAGGUUUGCAAAAUGGUUUUACAGCUGAUGCAGCGCCGCAGCACGUAGUAAACUGGGAGGCACUGUGACUGUCUGAAGUAUCACUUGGAGGUCGCAUGAUUGGUCGGUCCGUUAGAAGCGCUGGAGUUAUCAUAUUUUCCACGAACCCACCUGAUGAACAACAAACCGGCAGGCAGAUGCCAAAACUGCGUAAAUCCUGGCAAACGCAGCGACCGCUGGCAAGCUAAAAGAUUCCAGGAAGAAUUUGUCGGUUGACAAGAAGUCAACAGUAUUGAACAUAACUCGGGCAUUCGAAACUUUAAUAUGCUGUACUGCACAGUCAGAAGAAAAAUGUGUUUCUUUUUCAAUUUUGAGAUUAUAUCAUCUUAUAAUUCUCAGAGCCAAGGGGGGGAUUGAUCCCCCUGAUCCCCCCCUAUCUACGCUACUGGUUGUAAUGGAAAAUUCUUUAUUAA